rnacentral:rRNA from 1 species
AAUCAACGCUGGCGGCGUGCCUAACACAUGCAAGUCGCACGAGAAAGAGGGGGCAACCCCUUGAGUAAAGUGGCGUACGGGUGAGUCACACGUGACUAACCUACCUCCGAGUGGGGAAUAACUCCGGGAGACCGGGGCUAAUACCGCAUAACAUCUACGGAUCAAAGCAGUAAUGCGCUUGGAGAGGGGGUCGCGGCUGAUUAGCUAGUUGGUGAGGUAAUGGCUCACCAAGGCGACGAUCAGUAUCCGGCCUGAGAGGGCGCACGGACACACUGGAACUGAAACACGGUCCAGACUCCUACGGGAGGCAGCAGUGGGGAAUUUUGCGCAAUGGGGGAAACCCUGACGCAGCAACGCCGCGUGGAGGAUGAAGGUCUUUGGAUUGUAAACUCCUUUCGAUCGGGGGCGAUUAUGACGGUACCGGAAGAAGAAGCACCGGCUAACUCUGUGCCAGCCGCCGCGGUAAC